UACGGAGGGGGCUAGCGUUGUUCGGAAUUACUGGGCGUAAAGCGCACGUAGGCGGAUGUUCAAGUCGGGGGUGAAAUCCCGGGGCUCAACCCCGGAACUGCCUUCGAUACUGGACGUCUGGAGGUCGGGAGAGGUGAGUGGAAUUCCGAGUGUAGAGGUGAAAUUCGUAGAUAUUCGGAGGAACACCGGUGGCGAAGGCGGCUCACUGGCCCGAUACUGACGCUGAGGUGCGACAGCGUGGGGAGCAAACAGG
rnacentral:rRNA from 1 species